UCUCAGAGGGAUUCUUUACAGUUUUUUUUAUCAUUCAGGAGGAAGUUGUUUCUUCCCUCAAUAGACAUGCAAUUAUGCAUGCAUAACCUACAGAGGGGUGGAAUUGUGCAAUGCCAGGAUUGAGCAUUCUAGCCAAAAAAUACAAAAACUUACGAAUUUCAAUACUAGAUGGCGUACGGUAUUGUUGUUUGUCUCGUGGAGAACAAAUGUCGGAAGUUGUGUUUGUGUAUAUUGUGUCUGUUGUUGUCCCAUCAGGUGAUAUUCAUGGGCCAUUGGCAUUCCCAGAUAACAACGAGUUUCUCAAUAUUCUAUUACUAACCACAUGUGCAGCUACUAAAGAUCAGAUUUAUGACCCAACAAUUGUAGAAAGAAAAAGGUAAGCAGAACACUGAAACACAUUUUAAACUGAAAUAAUUGAGCUUUGUUUUGCAAUUAAGUUCUCAAGAUUUGAAGCUAGAUUUGAGUAAAUUAAAGUGCACAGUUCAGGUUUGAUGAGUUUCUCAUUGUUUAUUAUUUGGUUACAUACCACGAAAACCAGCAUGCUGAAAAUAUUAUCAAUGCCUGUACACACACAUUUCUGUAUUUUACUAUUCCUAGAUAAUCAUGUGUUUUGUUGUUCUAUCAGGUUGUACUUAUGGAUUACAGAAUUCCCAGUUCCACAACACCCAAUUCAAGUCCCUGAAUAUUUUGUGUGAACCACAGUUUCUGCUACCAAACAUUGGUAGAAGAAUACCAAAGGUUUCUCUUGACUCUCAGUAAUUGGUAAAUGUGAAGCAGUUGAUAUUGUGUGUAAUCAAGGAGGUAUAUACCAGGUAUAUAAUCCAUUCCCAAAAAAAAAGCGUGCAGCAAACUUCCAAAGGAAAAAAGUGGUGCUGCUAUUGUGGCAACAACAAAGAUUCUAUUGAUUUGUUAUCAUUAUAGAUUACCUAUUUUGCUUAAUAUACUGGAUGAGAACCAUCUGGAUUUCUUCCAAGGAAAAGUAAAGGGGGCAAUAACACAGUCGACUAAGUUCUUUGUUUGCUAACCCGUUGGCUGCUUCCUUGACCCGGCUGACCUUGCCCUCUUUGACUUCGGUCCCGAUUUGAGUUAGCGACGCUAUUCCAUGGAUUGUGAACCUGACGAGAGACGACAGCUCAACGACGACUAAUUGACGGGCUGUCAUUCAGCAAUACUGCUCGUUCAGUUCGUCCUUCGUCGCUCCGAUUCAUCGGGGAAUUGAGCUUGCUCCAACUACGCGGCCACAUGCCAGAAUCAUUGGAUUACCCAGCCGACUUGUAAGUUACCCCAGCUCUCAACACAGCAGAGUUUUACUCUUUAGAUUAUGUUUGGCUGUUUGCCAUGUUUGAUGGCGUUUUCUUGUGUGCGACCACUAAUCGCUCCCUAUCAAAACUGGCCUCGGACUCCUCUCUUCUUCCUUGUCCAGGUAAUCUCCCUUGGGCAGUUAAUCAAGGCAGUCUCCCCCUUCUUGAUUGACUGAACUUUGUAAGGAAAAUUGAACAUUUCAUAUUGAUAAAAUUAAUUUAGUGUAGAUGGAUGAUAAACAUUGUAUGUAAUAGUGUCAACUCAAUAAGCUUGUAAAGUUAUAUUUUCAAAAUACAGUGUUAUAUAUAAAUCUUAUAUAUCCCAACUUA